GCGGAUGGCCGGAUGACCGCGGCGCCCUUUCGGGGCUGUCGAGGAAAGUCCGGGCUCCGGAAAGCAACGGUGCCGGGUAACGCCCGGGCGGGGCAACCCGACGGAAAGCGCCACAGAAAACAGACCACCCCGGACGUGUCCGGGGCCAGGGUGAAACGGUGGGGUAAGAGCCCACCGGGGGGCCGGCAACGGCGCCCGCAUGGCAAGCCCCACCGGGAGCAAUGCCGAAUAGGGAUCCUGCGGGCCGCAAGGCCCAGGGCCGCUUUCGCCCAAGGGUCCGGGUAGGCAGCACGAGCGCAUCGGCGACGAUGCGCCCAGAUGAAUGGUCAUCACCCGCCGCAAGGUGGGGACAGAACCCGGCUUACAGGCCAUCCGCGCGC
rnacentral:RNase_P_RNA from 1 species